rnacentral:rRNA from 1 species
GACGAACGCUGGCGGCGUGCUUAACACAUGCAAGUCGAACGGAAAGGCCCUGCUUUUGUGGGGUGCUCGAGUGGCGAACGGGGGAGUAACACGUGAGUAACCUGCCCUUGACUUUGGGAUAACUUCAGGAAACUGGGGCUAAUACCGGAUAGGAGCUCCUGCUGCAUGGUGGGGGUUGGAAAGUUUCGGCGGUUGGGGAUGGACUCGCGGCUUAUCAGCUUGUUGGUGGGGUAGUGGCUUACCAAGGCUUUGACGGGUAGCCGGCCUGGUAGGGUGACCGGCCCCAUUGGGACUGAGAUACGGCCCAGACUCCUACGGGAGGCAGCAGUGGGGAAUAUUGCACUAUGGGCGGAAGCCUGAUGCAGCAACGCCGCGUGCGGGAUGACGGCCUUCGGGUUGUAAUCUGCUUUCGCCUGUGACGAAGCGUGAGUGACGGUAAUGGGUAAAGAAGCACCGGCUAACUACGUG